CGAAAUCCGUAGCGCUACGGACUUAAAAUCCGUCGACUUUAGAAAUCGUGAGGGUUCAAGUCCCUCUAUCCCCA
rnacentral:tRNA from 1 species